rnacentral:rRNA from 1 species
UACGGGGGGGGCAAGCGUUGUUCGGAAUUACUGGGCGUAAAGCGUGCGCAGGCGGCUAUUUAAGUUUGCUGUGAAAGCCCCGGGCUUAACCUGGGAACUGCAGUGAGGACUGGAUGGCUGGAGUGUGGCAGAGGGGGGUGGAAUUCCACGUGUAGCAGUGAAAUGCGUAGAGAUGUGGAGGAACACCGAUGGCGAAGGCAGCCCCCUGGGCUGACACUGACGCUCAGGCACGAAAGCGUGGGGAGCAAACAGG